rnacentral:tRNA from 1 species
CAAGGAGUAGUUUAUGCAGAAUUUCAGCUUUGGGUGUUGAAGGUAGGGCUUAAUGCCUUCUCCUUGA